rnacentral:rRNA from 1 species
UACCUUAAAACUAGUCUAAUUUUUAAACUCAAAAACAAAACAUAAAUACCCCCCAACACAUCAACACCUCAAAAUAAAACAUUCUUCCCCCCAAGUACGGGAGACAGAAAAG